rnacentral:rRNA from 1 species
GUCCACGCCGUAAACGAUGGGCACUAGGCGUCGGGGGGAGGCGACCCUCCCGGUGCCGUCGCUAACGCAGUAAGUGCCCGCCUGGGGAGGUACGGCCGCAAGGCUGAAACUCAAAGGAAUUGACGGGGGCCCGCACAAGCGGUGGAGCAUGUGGUUUAAUUCGAAGCAACGCGAAGAACCUUACCUGGGCUUGACAUGCUGGUGUAAGCCGGUGGAAACAUCGGCCCCUCUUCGGAGCGCAAGCACAGGUGCUGCAUGGCUGUCGU